ensembl:misc_RNA 7SK 7SK RNA
GGAUGAGAGGGUGAUCUGGCUGUGGUAUCUGUCACCUGAGGCCAGCUGAUCUGGUUAACUAGGUGGGUGUCCCCUUCCUCCCUCACUGCUCAGUGUUUGUCCCUCCAGAAGCUAUGUGCUCAAAGACGACAACCUUCCCUAAAUAGGAGUGAGCUGGUCUCAGUUGAGGGUAUAUAAGUAGUUGUGCUCCCCUGCUAGAACGUCCAAACAAGCUCUCAAAAGAUAGCCAUGUGUGAGGCUCCAUGGUUCUAAAUUCAAUCCCUAGUAUCACCAUAAAUCAGAGAGGAAGAGAGAAAGAU